AUGGCGUCGCCGCCGCCGUCGCCGCCGCCGCUGGCCUCCAUCCCCAUCCCCGACGAGCUCCUGGAGGAGAUCUUCCUCCGCCUGCCCACCCCGGACGCGGUCGCCCGCGCCUCCGGCGCCUGCACCUCCUUCCGCCGCGUCAUCAAAGGUCGCGCCUUCCGCCGCCGCCUCCGCACGCUGCAUCGCCCUCCCCUCCUCGGCUUCAUGGACGCGGCCGGAUUCCACCCCGCCCAGGCGCCGCACCCCUCCGCCCCGCUCGCCCGCGCCCUCGCCUCCUGCACCGCGGAUUUCUCCUUCGUCCCGGCCGUCGUUUCUUCUUCCUCCUACUUGGUCCCGCCGGGCGUCCAAGACGACGACGGGGAAGGCCCCCGCUGGCGCCCCUGCGACGUCCGCGACGGCCGCGUCCUCCUCGUUUGGACCUCCCUCAUGUUGACCAAACGGGAGCGGUUCAAUGCUGCCAAGCUCCACCUCGCCGUCUGUGACCCCCUGUGCAGCAGAUACGUGCUGCUUCCAACAAUACCUCAGGACCUCGCCGCCCAGCCGCAGGAUCUCCUUCGGGAAUUCCAGCCCGUGCUUGCUCCCUGCACCGGCGACGACGGCCAAGAGGAGCCCUUCAAGGUGAUAUGCAUAGCAAGAUACCAAACGAAGCUGGUCCUCUUUGUGUUCCCCUCUACAACUAUGCGAUGGUGUAUGGCGGAGUCUCCUAUUUUCCCUUCUUUGAAACACAUGUCUUGUUUUGACUGCGUGCGUGGCUGCUUCUACUGGACAGAGCCUUAUGGCUGGAGUGACCAUUUGAUGGUGCUGGACACGCGCACUUUGAGGUUUUCGAUUGUCGAUAACCUCACUGGCUACCAUGCGGAGCUCAGUGAUCUUCCUGACCAGAGCUUUGGUUAUCGUCGCGCAAAUGCCCUUGUUAUGGGCCGAGAAGGAGCCCUUGAGAUGUUUUCUCUUGUGUGUCAACACGGGUCAUUUGCCAUCUACCAUACCUCUCUGCAGAAUAAUUCCCAAGAAUGGAAGCUAGAGAAGAUUAUACAGCUGCCUGGGCAGUAUCAUGACUAUAACAUUUCCACGGUGGGUGCAGCCGAGGGAUUCUUGUUCUUCCGAGGCGCUCCAGAAGGUAUUCAUAUUGGGAAUGUGGAUUCUUACUCAAUGGAGGUCAAGACUUAUGAAAUUACCAAAGUCUGUACGGAGAUGGACAAUAUCUACAAUCCCAGACGCGCCCUCCCAUUCUUUAGCUUCCCACCGCUGUUAUCGGAACCAACUAUCUGA
rnacentral:rRNA from 1 species